GAUGAACGCUGGCGGCGUGCCUAAUACAUGCAAGUCGAGCGAACAGAUGAGGAGCUUGCUCCUCUGACGUUAGCGGCGGACGGGUGAGUAACACGUGGAUAACCUACCUAUAAGACUGGGAUAACUUCGGGAAACCGGAGCUAAUACCGGAUAAUAUAUUGAACCGCAUGGUUCAAUAGUGAAAGACGGUUUUGCUGUCACUUAUAGAUGGAUCCGCGCCGCAUUAGCUAGUUGGUAAGGUAACGGCUUACCAAGGCAACGAUGCGUAGCCGACCUGAGAGGGGGGUCGGCGACACGGGAGCGGAGACGCGCUCAUGACGACUACGGGAGGCACCAGAAGGGAAUGGGCGGCAAUGGGCGAAAGCCUGACGGAGCAACGCGGCGUGUGAUAUGAAGGUGUCCGGUGCGUAAAACUCUGUUAUUGGGGAAGAACAAAUGUGGAAGGAACUAUGCCCGUCUUGACGGUACCUAAUCAAAAAGCACCGGCUAACUACGUG
rnacentral:rRNA from 1 species